UUAAUUAGCCAACAUGGCAGUCUGUAAAUAUGGCAAUCUGUAAAUGUUAAUUAGCCAACAUGGCAGUCUGUAAAUGUUAAUUAGCCAACAUGGCAAUCUGUAAAUCCAUUGUGGCGGUCUGUAAAUGUUAAUUAGCCAACAUAGCGGUAUGUAACUGUUAAUUAGCCAACAUGGCAGUCUGAAACUGCUCAGUCUGCUUAUUAAAGAAGAUGAUAUAAUAAAAGCUUCCUCUCUUUGUUUCCUCUCCUUGUUCCUAACAAGGUGUCCCCAUCUUCCUCGCUUCACAAUGAUUGUAGAUGAGGAGAUUGCUAUUAUUGGUUUUUGAUU